rnacentral:rRNA from 1 species
UAGCGGCGGACGGGUGAGUAAUGCGUAGGAAGCUGCCCGAUAGAGGGGGAUACCAGUUGGAAACGACUGUUAAUACCGCAUAAUGUCUACGGACCAAAGUAUGGGACCUUCGGGCCAUAUGCUAUCGGAUGCGCCUACGUGGGAUUAGCUAGUUGGUGUGGUAAUGGCGCACCAAGGCGACGAUCCCUAGCUGGUUUGAGAGGAUGAUCAGCCACACUGGGACUGAGACACGGCCCAGACUCCUACGGGAGGCAGCAGUGGGGAAUAUUGGACAAUGGGCGCAAGCCUGAUCCAGCCAUGCCGCGUGUGUGAAGAAGGCCUUCGGGUUGUAAAGCACUUUCAGCGAGGAGGAAGGGUGUUGUGUUAAUAGCACAGCAUUUUGACGUUACUCGCAGAAGAAGCACCGGCUAACUCCGUGCCAGCAGCUGCGGUAAUACGGAGGGUGCAAGCGUUAAUCGGAAUUACUGGGCGUAAAGCGCACGCAGGCGGCUUUUUAAGUCGGAUGUGAAAGCCCCGGGCUCAACCUGGGAAUUGCAUUCGAUACUGGAAAGCUAGAGUAUGUGAGAGGGGGGUAGAAUUCCAAGUGUAGCGGUGAAAUGCGUAGAGAUUUGGAGGAAUACCAGUGGCGAAAGCGGCCCCCUGGCACACUACUGACGCUCAGUGCGAAAGCGUGGGGAGCAAACAGGAUUAGAUACCC